GACGAACGCUGGCGGCGUGCUUAACACAUGCAAGUCGAGCGGUAAGGCCCUUUCGGGGGUACACGAGCGGCGAACGGGUGAGUAACACGUGGGUGACCUGCCUUUAGCUCUGGGAUAAGCCUGGGAAACCGGGUCUAAUACCGGAUAUGACUCCGCGGCGCAUGUGUGGGGUGGAAAGCCUUGUGCGGCUGGAGAUGGGCCCGCGGCCUAUCAGCUUGUUGGUGGGGUGAUGGCCUACCAAGGCGACGACGGGUAGCCGGCCUGAGAGGGCGACCGGCCACACUGGGACUGAGACACGGCCCAGACUCCUACGGGAGGCAGCAGUGGGGAAUCUUGCGCAAUGGGCGAAAGCCUGACGCAGCGACGCCGCGUGA
rnacentral:rRNA from 1 species